GUGCUCUCACGGUUGCAUCUGGAGAAUUUCCAGUACUCUACCAGUCUCAAUAGUGGGAGGGAGAAUCAAGCAGAGGCAUACCCAUUCCAUUCCUAGCUUGAGCAAUGGCUAGCGAGUGGAAGGCAAUCUGCAACAAAU